GGAUCCAUUAGCUUCUUAAUUCAAAAAAUAUUCCAGGGUCCACUGAGUAACUGAACUAAAUUCAGUUUCUGAAUGCCCAAUGAUCAUUAUUUCGGUACUAACAAAUGUACAAUCCAAAGUCGGAUGCAAAGUCAUGCAUUGCAAGUUUCUUGCACAACUUGCUUCUUGUGAGUUCAAAUUAUUUAAUAACACUAUCAGAAUACAAUAAGAUCAUGCAAAUGAGAUGGUUAUCAGUUGGUUAUUCUGAUUAAACAUAUAAUUGUUAUAUUAAACACACAAUGCAUCAGUGGUUGAAAAGAAAAUUUAAACAACUUAAACUGGCUUAAAAAACCAUGAACUAACUAAAAAGAAAUGCACAUUC
rnacentral:misc_RNA from 1 species